CCUACGGGGGGCAGCAGUGGGGAAUAUUGGGCAAUGGGCGCAAGCCUGACCCAGCAACGCCGCGUGAAGGAAGAAGGCUUUCGGGUUGUAAACUUCUUUUGUCAGGGAAGAGUAGAAGACGGUACCUGACGAAUAAGCCACGGCUAACUACGUGCCAGCAGCCGCGGUAAUACGUAGGUGGCAAGCGUUGUCCGGAUUUACUGGGUGUAAAGGGCGUGUAGCCGGGUUGACAAGUCAGAUGUGAAAUCCUGCGGCUUAACCGCAGAACUGCAUUUGAAACUGUUGAUCUUGAGUACUGGAGAGGCAGGCGGAAUUACUAGUGUAGCGGUGAAAUGCGUAGAUAUUAGGAGGAACACCAGAGGCGAAGGCGGUCUGCUGGACAGCAACUGACGGUGAGGCGCGAAAGCGUGGGGAGCAAACAGGAUUAGAUACCCGAGUAGUC
rnacentral:rRNA from 1 species